rnacentral:rRNA from 1 species
UACGGAGGGUGCGAGCGUUGUCCGGAAUCAUUGAGCGUAAAGGGCGCGUAGGUGGCCCGGUGAGUCCUUGGUGAAAGCGCGGGGCUCAACCCUGCGUCGGCCAGGGAUACUGCCGCGGCUCGAGCACUGUAGAGGCAGGCGGAAUUCCGGGUGUAGCGGUGGAAUGCGUAGAGAUCCGGAAGAACACCGGUGGCGAAGGCGGCCUGCUGGGCAGUGGCUGACGCUGAGGCGCGACAGCGUGGGGAGCAAACAGG